AUGAACGCUGGCGGCGUGCCUAAUACAUGCAAGUCGAGCGAACAGACGAGGAGCUUGCUCCUCUGACGUUAGCGGCGGACGGGUGAGUAACACGUGGAUAACCUACCUAUAAGACUGGGAUAACUUCGGGAAACCGGAGCUAAUACCGGAUAAUAUAUUGAACCGCAUGGUUCAAUAGUGAAAGACGGUUUUGCUGUCACUUAUAGAUGGAUCCGCGCCGCAUUAGCUAGUUGGUUAGGUAACGGCUUACCAAGGCAACGAUGCGUAGCCGAACUGAGAGGGUGAUCGGCCACACUGGAACUGAGACACGGUCCAGACUCCUACGGGAGGCAGCAGUAGGGAAUCUUCCGCAAUGGGCGAAAGCCUGACGGAGCAACGCCGCGUGAGUGAUGAAGGUCUUCGGAUCGUAAAACUCUGUUAUUAGGGAAGAACAAAUGUGUAAGUAACUAUGCACGUCUUGACGGUACCUAAUCAGAAAGCCACGGCUAACUACGUG
rnacentral:rRNA from 1 species